CAGUAAGUAGUUUAUUUUAAAAUAUUAGUUUUGGGGACUAAGGAUGUUAUAUAUUAUCUUUACUGA
rnacentral:tRNA from 1 species